CCUACGGGAGGCUGCAGUGAGGAAUAUUGGUCAAUGGGCGCGAGCCUGAACCAGCCAAGUAGCGUGAAGGAUGACUGCCCUACGGGCUGUAAACUUCUUUUAUAAAGGAAUAAAGUGAGGCACGUGUGCCUUUUUGUAUGUACCUUAUGAUUAAGGAUCGGCUAACUCUGUGUCAGCAGCCGCGGUAAUACGGAGGGUCCGAGCGUGAUCCGGAUUUAUUGGGUUUAAAGGGAGCGGAGAUGGGUUGUUAAGUCAGUUGUGAAAGUUUGCGGCUCAACCGUAAACUUGCAAUGGAUACUGGCAGUCUUGAGUACAGUUGAGGAAGGUGGAAUUCGUGGUGUAGCGGUGAAAUGCGUAGAUAUCACGAAGAACUCCGAUUGCGAAGGCAGCUUACUAAACUGCCACUGACAUUGAUGCUCGAAAGUGUGGGUAUCAAACAGGAUUAGAUACCCUGGUAGUC
rnacentral:rRNA from 1 species